rnacentral:rRNA from 1 species
UUAAGCGACUAAGCGUACACGGUGGAUGCCCUGGCAGUCAGAGGCGAUGAAGGACGUGCUAAUCUGCGAAAAGCGCCGGCGAGGUGAUAUGAACCUUUGACCCGGCGAUGUCCGAAUGGGGAAACCCAGUGCAAUUCGUUGCACUAUCGUUAACUGAAUACAUAGGUUAACGAGGCGAACCGGGGGAACUGAAACAUCUAAGUACCCCGAGGAAAAGAAAUCAACCGAGAUUCCCCCAGUAGCGGCGAGCGAACGGGGAGCAGCCCGGAGUCUGAAUCAGCUUGUGUGUUAGUGGAACGGUCUGGAAAGUCCGACGGUACAGGGUGAUAGUCCCGUACACGAAAGCACACUUGCUGUGAACUCGAAGAGUAGGGCGGGACACGUGGUAUCCUGUCUGAAUAUGGGGGGACCAUCCUCCAAGGCUAAAUACUCCUGACUGACCGAUAGUGAACCAGUACCGUGAGGGAAAGGCGAAAAGAACCCCGGCGAGGGGAGUGAAAAAGAACCUGAAACCGUGUACGUACAAGCAGUGGGAGCCUCUUUAUGGGGUGACUGCGUACCUUUUGUAUAAUGGGUCAGCGACUUAUAUUCUGUAGCAAGGUUAACCGUAUAGGGGAGCCGAAGGGAAACCGAGUCUUAACUGGGCGUUAAGUUGCAGGGUAUAGACCCGAAACCCGGUGAUCUAGCCAUGGGCAGGUUGAAGGUUGGGUAACACUAACUGGAGGACCGAACCGACUAAUGUUGAAAAAUUAGCGGAUGACCUGUGGCUGGGGGUGAAAGGCCAAUCAAACCGGGAGAUAGCUGGUUCUCCCCGAAAGCUAUUUAGGUAGCGCCUCGUGAACUCAUCUUCGGGGGUAGAGCACUGUUUCGGCUAGGGGGCCAUCCCGGCUUACCAACCCGAUGCAAACUACGAAUACCGAAGAAUGUUAUCACGGGAGACACACGGCGGGUGCUAACGUCCGUCGUGAAGAGGGAAACAACCCAGACCGCCAGCUAAGGUCCCAAAGUCAUGGUUAAGUGGGAAACGAUGUGGGAAGGCACAGACAGCCAGGAUGUUGGCUUAGAAGCAGCCAUCAUUUAAAGAAAGCGUAAUAGCUCACUGGUCGAGUCGGCCUGCGCGGAAGAUGUAACGGGGCUAAACCAUGCACCGAAGCUGCGGCAGCGACGCUUAUGCGUUGUUGGGUAGGGGAGCGUUCUGUAAGCCGUUGAAGGUGUCCUGUGAGGGGUGCUGGAGGUAUCAGAAGUGCGAAUGCUGACAUAAGUAACGAUAAAGCGGGUGAAAAGCCCGCUCGCCGGAAGACCAAGGGUUCCUGUCCAACGUUAAUCGGGGCAGGGUGAGUCGACCCCUAAGGCGAGGCCGAAAGGCGUAGUCGAUGGGAAACAGGUUAAUAUUCCUGUACUUGGUGUUACUGCGAAGGGGGGACGGAGAAGGCUAUGUCAGCCGGGCGACGGUUGUCCCGGUUUAAGCAUGUAGGCGGAGGUUCCAGGUAAAUCCGGUACCUUAUUAACGCUGAGGUGUGAUGACGAGGCACUACGGUGCUGAAGUGAUAAAUGCCCUGCUUCCAGGAAAAGCCUCUAAGCAUCAGGUAACACGAAAUCGUACCCCAAACCGACACAGGUGGUCAGGUAGAGAAUACCAAGGCGCUUGAGAGAACUCGGGUGAAGGAACUAGGCAAAAUGGUGCCGUAACUUCGGGAGAAGGCACGCUGAUAUGUAGGUGAAGUCCCUGCGGACGGAGCUGAAAUCAGUCGAAGAUACCAGCUGGCUGCAACUGUUUAUUAAAAACACAGCACUGUGCAAACACGAAAGUGGACGUAUACGGUGUGACGCCUGCCCGGUGCCGGAAGGUUAAUUGAUGGGGUUAGCGGCAACGCGAAGCUCUUGAUCGAAGCCCCGGUAAACGGCGGCCGUAACUAUAACGGUCCUAAGGUAGCGAAAUUCCUUGUCGGGUAAGUUCCGACCUGCACGAAUGGCGUAAUGAUGGCCAGGCUGUCUCCACCCGAGACUCAGUGAAAUUGAACUCGCUGUGAAGAUGCAGUGUACCCGCGGCAAGACGGAAAGACCCCGUGAACCUUUACUAUAGCUUGACACUGAACACUGGUCCUUGAUGUGUAGGAUAGGUGGGAGGCUUUGAAGCGUGGACGCCAGUCUGCGUGGAGCCAACCUUGAAAUACCACCCUUUAAUGGCUGGUGUUCUAACGUAGACCCGUAAUCCGGGUUGCGGACAGUGUCUGGUGGGUAGUUUGACUGGGGCGGUCUCCUCCCAAAGAGUAACGGAGGAGCACGAAGGUUGGCUAAUCCUGGUCGGACAUCAGGAGGUUAGUGCAAUGGCAUAAGCCAGCUUGACUGCGAGCGUGACGGCGCGAGCAGGUGCGAAAGCAGGUCAUAGUGAUCCGGUGGUUCUGAAUGGAAGGGCCAUCGCUCAACGGAUAAAAGGUACUCCGGGGAUAACAGGCUGAUACCGCCCAAGAGUUCAUAUCGACGGCGGUGUUUGGCACCUCGAUGUCGGCUCAUCACAUCCUGGGGCUGAAGUAGGUCCCAAGGGUAUGGCUGUUCGCCAUUUAAAGUGGUACGCGAGCUGGGUUUAGAACGUCGUGAGACAGUUCGGUCCCUAUCUGCCGUGGGCGCUGGAGAAUUGAGGGGGGCUGCUCCUAGUACGAGAGGACCGGAGUGGACGCAUCACUGGUGUUCGGGUUGUCAUGCCAAUGGCACUGCCCGGUAGCUAAAUGCGG